AAGGAGUUUAUCGUGUGCGCAAGUUUUUGGGUGUUAAAAACCUAAAAGCGAAAUGAAAGUAAAUGGCUCUUUAGAGUCUGAUGUGCGAUCUUGUCAAAAAGUGCAGCAUGGCCCCAUUCUAACUGUUUACAGUAGGGUGGCGGAAGAGCGUACGCGGUGAGACCCGAAAGAUGGUGAACUAUUCCUGAGCAGGACGAAGCCAGAGGAAACUCUGGUGGAAGUCCGAAGCGGUUCUGACGUGCAAAUCGAUCGUCUGACUUGGGUAUAGGGGCGAAAGACUAAUCGAACCAUCUAGUA
rnacentral:rRNA from 1 species